rnacentral:lncRNA from 1 species
ACAGAGUAAAUACUUAAGUAGCUAGUCUACUGGUGGAUUACCAUAUGUCACAAUGAUUGAAACAUACUUUGAUUACUCACAGGUUUAAAUGAUUUAUUUGGAUCAAUCUAUUUUAAAUAGGUAAAUCCUUCCAGUUCCAUUAUCAAUAAUAAAACUAUGAAGUGCAUAUGCAAAUGUCCACAGAUAUGUGAGAUACAGUUCAUAGAUACAGCUUUCUCAGACAUAUAUCCCUUUUCUUAUGUAAAUGUUUAGCACUUUUUCUAAGUCCACUUUGUGUACAGCUAAGUGGUGGUAAAAUGUGAAGGAACAGGAGGCUUGACACUUUCUAUCUCUGAAUACAAUGGCUUUUCCUUCACAAAUUAAUAUUAAUAUCUAUGAAUAGUUUGUCAUGAAUUGAAAAGUUUUGC